rnacentral:rRNA from 1 species
UACAGAGGCCCCGAGCGUUAUCCGGAAUUAUUGGGCGUAAAGGGUGUCGAGGCGGUCAUGUUAGUCGUGUGUAAAAUCCGGGGGGCUCAACCUCCGGCCCGCACGCGAAACGGCAUGACUUGAGGUUGGAAGAGGUGCGUGGAACUCACGGUGUAGGGGUGAAAUUCGUAGAUAUUCGGAAGAACACCAGUGGCGAAGGCGACACACUGGCCCGUUACUGACGCUGAGGCGCGAAAGCGUGGGGGAGCAAACAGG